AGCCAGCCUCCUCUCCUAGGCACAACAGGCACGUUGAAUGGACAAAACCUGCACAUUACUGUCUGGCUUGGUAGCAAAGGAUAAAAAAAAAUGAGGUGUUUCUUAACCUGCCUUUGCUUCAUGGCAGUGUGCCUAGGGGUGCAGUCGGCAGUGGAGCUGGUCCAGUCUGGUGCCGUGGUGAAGAAGCCUGGGGAGACUGUGAAGAUCUCCUGUAAAACCUCCGGGUUCACACUCACUGAUUACUACAUGGGCUGGGUGCAGCAGGCUCCAGGGAAAGGCCUGGUGUGGGUUGGACGUAUUGACCCUGAAGAUGGUAGUACCAGCUAUGCAGAAACACUGAAAGGCAGAGUGUCCAUCACCACCGACAACUCCAUCAGCACCGUGUACCUGCAACUCAGCCGCCUGUCGCCUGCAGACACUGCCGUGUAUUACUGUGCUAGACACACAGUGGGCAGGAUGCCAUUCACAGCCGUCUAUGUCUACACCAUGGAAGGGGUUUAUACAAGUGAAAAACUGAAAGGGCCACAAAUGACACUGAUUUUGGAGAAAUCGGACUUGAUUCCAAAACGUAAAUGGCAAUUGGUUUCUGCCAGUAUGCCCCGAGGUCUCUGA